AUUGAACGCUGGCGGAAUGCUUUACACAUGCAAGUCGAGCGGCAGCGCGGGGCAACCUGGCGGCGAGCGGCGAACGGGUGAGUAAUGUAUCGGAACGUGUCCUGUCGUGGGGGAUAGCCCGGUGAAAACCGGAUUAAUACCGCAUACGAUCGAGAGAUGAAAGUGGGGGACCGCAAGGCCUCACGCGAUAGGAGCGGCCGAUAUCUGAUUAGCUAGUUGGUGGGGUAAAGGCCCACCAAGGCCUCGAUCAGUAGCUGGUCUGAGAGGAUGAUCAGCCACACUGGGACUGAGACACGGCCCAGACUCCUACGGGAGGCAGCAGUGGGGAAUUUUGGACAAUGGGGGCAACCCUGAUCCCGCCAUUCCGCGUGAGUGAAGGAAGCCUUCGGGUUGUAAAGCUCUUUUGUCCGGGAAGAAACGGUUUUGGCUAAUAACCAAGACUACUGACGGUACCGGAAGAAUAAGGACCGGCUAACUACGUGCCAGCCGCCGCCGUAA
rnacentral:rRNA from 1 species